UACGUAGGGUGCAAGCGUUAAUCGGAAUUACUGGGCGUAAAGCGUGCGCAGGCGGCUUUGCAAGCCAGAUGUGAAAUCCCCGGGCUUAACCUGGGAACUGCAUUUGUGACUGCAUGGCUGGAGUGCGGCAGAGGGGGAUGGAAUUCCGCGUGUAGCAGUGAAAUGCGUAGAUAUGCGGAGGAACACCGAUGGCGAAGGCAAUCCCCUGGGCCUGCACUGACGCUCAGGCACGAAAGCGUGGGGAGCAAACAGG
rnacentral:rRNA from 1 species